rnacentral:rRNA from 1 species
UACGUAGGGGGGCAAGCGUUGUCCGGAAUCAUUGGGCGUAAAGAGCGCGUAGGCGGUCCGGUAAGUCCGCUCUGAAAGUCCGGGGCUCAACCCCGGGAGGCGGGCGGAUACUGUCGGGCUAGAGUCCGGAAGAGGCGAGUGGAAUUCCGGGUGUAGCGGUGGAAUGCGUAGAGAUCCGGAAGAACACCAGUGGCGAAGGCGGCCCGCUGGGCAGUGGCUGACGCUGAGGCGCGACAGCGUGGGGAGCAAACAGG